UCUGUACUGAUUCCGUCAUCCCCUGUAGC
rnacentral:sRNA from 1 species